UACCCUACAUGAGAACAGAGUCAUAUUAUAAUCGUCUCUUCAACAGCACAAAGCAGACUAAAUCAUUGCGAUGAGAUGGAACAACACCAGAGGAUAAGAUCAAUUAUAAUUUCUGUCCCACGCACCAGGUCAGGCAGUAAGGCGGAUACAGGGAACUAAAAAUGACUAACGUACGGGCCUUGACUGCAAGGAGCAAAUGUUUGCCCUGGUGGAGAAGACAGACAUCUGAACAAAUAUUCACAAAAUACUCUGUGCUUUGGGAGCAGGAAAGCUCAACUCAAGGACAUCACAUUGGUGGCUUGGAAUCAGUCAUGGAGGGAGAAUUAACACCAUGGAACUAGGUAAAUGAAAUACAUCAGGAUCCCCCUUGUCCCGGAAGGAAAACAUUCUAGCAACACAUCACAGGCUAUACCUUCUCUCUGAGGAUCCAGAAAAUUAAUUUUUAAUAAUCAAAUGAUACGUUAAGUGGCUAUUUAAAUUAUGGAUUUCAGUCAAUUUUAAAACAUAGCUGCUUAAAAAUGCACUUUGAUUUUUUAAAAGUCAAACUCAUGAGUGUACAAUUUAGAGCCAAUAAAAUUCACUCAUUUUAAGCAUACAGUUUCACGAGUUUUGACAAAUGCACAGAGUCGUGUUGCCACCAUUUCUUCCCUGGAUUGUUUAAAGCUAAGUGUGGCCUUGUGACCUGUUUUGUUUAAUGAAAUGAACUAGUGUUGGGUGUCGCUUUGGGACUGGGCCAUAAAAAGAGGAAAAUACUGCACAAAGAUCAUAUACAUCUUGUGACACGCAUGGAACAUGGAUUAGAAAUAACUGUUUUUAUGCUUUAAAACCCUGACAUUUGAGGAUUAUUUAUUAUUGCAACCUAACCAAGCCCAUGCUCACUGAGAUAUUGAUAAUUAUAGAUUAUUUGGCUAAAAUGAAAUGCAAAUAAAACACUAACUCCUGCAACAUGCUACCCAAGGUCCUUCACAUGUGCAAUUAUCUCAAGCCACAUUUUCAGUUUCAUUUCCAUACCUUUCUCUCGUAUAUUUUACCUAUAUCAGAUGUUUGAAAUUCCUUGACUAUAUAAGAAGUACUAGUACUACUAAUGUUUAUCGAGCAUCUACUCUGUGCCACAUUGUCUAAACACUUCACCUAUUCUGUCUGCUCUGAAGUCUCACUUCUCUACCUAGCUUGUCCUUCUUUCUUUUCCUUUGCUCCAAAAUAGCCUAUCUUUAAUAAUACAAUUCAAAUCACAAUCUUGUCCUCGAUAAAAUUGUGUUGUUACUAAUCUCUUAGAAUAUUUUGUGCAAAAUUUAUACUAUAAUUAUUUAUCUCCUGCGGUUUCUCCUUAUCCUGUCCCCACUACUGGAUUCUGCACCUACUGAGGCACUUGUAUAAGACAGAGACUUGAAGCUAUCAUGGAGUAGAAAACACCAUGCUGAGAAGAAAAGGAUGGAUAGAAAAGAAUGAGCAAGGAUGCAAAACAUUUCAACAUCAAUUAUGGAAAAUCAGCUGAAGAAGUCAGAAAGAUUCAAUCUGUGAAAGACACAGUGCUCCACGGAGGCCUGGGAGAUUGAGGAAGCUGCCAUGUGUGGACCAUGAGCAGCAUGGAGGAGUGAAGAGCAGGCCCCAGGUGACAGCCAGCAAGGCAAUCACAGUGUCGACUCUACAACCACACAGAACCAAAUUCAACCAACAAUAUGAAUAGGAAUGGACUUGCAUCUUCCUGAACCCUCCAGAUAAACACCCAACCUAAUCCAUAUCGAUUGAUUUGGGCCGUGUGGUGCCCUCAGCAGAAAGCCUGACUAAAUCUGCCUGAGUUUCUGAUUGAGCUAAUACGUGAGUUAUGUUUUACAUUGCUUUGUUAGUGGUAAGUUGUUACACAGCAAUAGAAAAUUAGCAGAGGGUAACCCGUGCUUAAGCGAGAUGUGAUUAGCCACGCAGGACUUGCAUUGUAAGUCCUUGAUCCUGGUCACUAAUGGCAAAUAACCCUAAAUACUAGUAAGUUCUCCUACACAAUUAAAAAGAAAUAAAUAAAGGAAACUCAAACCACCCAUUUCCUUCAAAAUAUUUUCAAUCUAUCACUGUUGAUGUUAAGUUAGUAACCCAGUUCAAUAUGAUAAACCACAUAGAAGGCAAUGAAUUUCUUAAGGCAAUAUUUUUAAUUAAAAACUCGAAAGUCCUACAAUCCAUUAACCUCUCUCAAAAUCUUUCUUACUAGAAAGUCUCCAGAGAUGAACAGUACACUCAUGCAUAGAUCUAGAAAAAUGUGCACAGCAGAUUCCCAGGGUUUUAUUUUUUGUAUCAAUACAAAUACAGUAAACUGUAUCAAUACAA